AGACAACAAAAUGUUUAAUAUUAUUAUUUUGUCACCUUAGGUCGAUCGGUAUCUCACGUUCUUAAUUAAUUAAGAAUUUCAAUUUCUAAGUUUUUCUAGGUCACACCCAUUAUUUUUCCUGGGCCAUUAGCUCAGGUGGUUAGAGCGCACCCCUGAUAAGGGUGAGGUCCCUGGUUCAAGUCCAGGAUGGCCCAUAUCUCUAUGUUGGGGGUAUAGCUCAGUUGGUAGAGCGCCUGCUUUGCAAGCAGGAUGUCAGCGGUUCGAGUCCGCUUACCUCCACUGAUUACCACCUCUUCCAUAAUUUGUAGUAGGGAAAUGUUUUGAGUUGUGAUCAAAUUCUGAACGAAUCUAGCUUCCUAAUAAAACUAUUAAGAUGCUGGACUCAUUGAAUUAAUUUCAUUGAUUUCAGAGAACCUUGACAACUGCAUAGAUUAUUUUUUAAAGACAAUAAGCAUCUUUAAUGAUGCAGAUUUAUUAUUUGUGCGAAUGCAUUAAUAACAAUUCUAUUAAGCUGAUGCUUCAAUUUUGAAGUUAUU
rnacentral:tRNA from 1 species